rnacentral:rRNA from 1 species
CCUACGGGAGGCAGCAGUGAGGAAUAUUGGUCAAUGGACGAGAGUCUGAACCAGCCAAGUAGCGUGAAGGAUGACUGCCCUCUGGGUUUUAAACUCCUUUUAUAUGGGAAUAAAAUGUUCCACGUGUGGGAUUUUGUCUGUACCAUAUGAAUACGGAUCGGCUAACUCCGUGCCAGCAGCCGCGGUAAUACGGAGGGUCCGAGCGUUAUCCGGAUUUAUUGGGUUUAAAGGGAGCGUAGGUGGAUUGUUAAGUCAGUUGUGAAAGUUUGCGGCUCAACCGUAAAAUUGCAGUUGAAACUGGCAGUCUUGAGUACAGUAGAGGUGGGCGGAAUUCGUGGUGUAGCGGUGAAAUGCUUAGAUAUCACGAAGAACUCCGAUUGCGAAGGCAGCUCACUGGACUGCAACUGACACUGAGGCUCGAAAGUGUGGGUAUCAAACAGGAUUAGAUACCCGGGUAGUC